rnacentral:rRNA from 1 species
UACAGAGGUCUCAAGCGUUGUUCGGAUUCAUUGGGCGUAAAGGGUGCGUAGGCGGCGCGGUAAGUCGGGGGUGAAAUCUCGGAGCUUAACUUCGAAACUGCAUUCGAUACUGCCGUGCUUGAGGACUGGAGAGGAGACUGGAAUUUACGGUGUAGCGGUGAAAUGCGUAGAUAUCGUAAGGAAGACCAGUGGCGAAGGCGGGUCUCUGGACAGUUCCUGACGCUGAGGCACGAAGGCCAGGGGAGCGAACGGG